rnacentral:lncRNA from 1 species
CGCUUCUUGUCAGUUUCGCGUUAGUCGCCGUUGAGGAGGCGCAGCCAGUGUAAGGAGCUAGUCGUACUCCAGCAUUGACGUUCCCGGCCACCACCUCUUCUUUGCCUAGGACUAUUGUGUGGCACUGUCCCCGAGAAAGCGUCCCGCGCGCGGUGACUGUGUAUGCUGGAGUGCCUGGGGGUAUCUGACAACCAGUCAAUGCCAGAGAUGGACUGCCUGCAAGGACCAGUGGCAGCAAUAGCAGCAGGCAGCUGGUAGUGGUGUACUCAGCGGCUGAUUUCAUGGCCAGUGCCCCUCCAUUGCUCCACUAAUUCCACCUUGAGGUCCAGGUCCCUGAGGGCAGCUUGAGCCAUAUCCUUAACUGCCUCCCCAUGGAUCUUGAGAGCUGUAUGGAUCACUCCCUCUACUCCAUACUCCACAAAGACACGCUUGUUCUCUGGCAGUCGAGACACCAUGUUUCGUAUUGCCAUGCAGCCCAGCUUCUGUGUGGCUGCUUGGCAUUUGGGUGUGCCUCCAUGACCCUCACCACUGCCUGGCCAGCCCCAUCCUCUACUAGCUGCUUAGCAUUGGCUGGGACACGCAGGGCCAGCAUAGAGACAGCCCCACAAGCCUCUUCACAUACAGUGCAUUCCAUCUAAGAAAGAUAUUCUUCCCAUAAAAACAUCCUACAUGGUGCCAUGUUCAUCUAGCAGAUGAUAUUUGAAGCUUGUUUAUGAGACCCAAGAGGAUGGGCCAUGAUGAGAUUCUUUAGGGUAGGCCGCCUUAGUACCAGAUAACAGGGAUGUAUGAAUAACCUCCAAUGCUUCAUGACUAGUUGGGCUAAGAUAGUAUUCCUAAACUCUCCACUAUCACUUCAACAUAAACUUAUGCCAAAUGAUUUCCUUUUAGCAUCAACAAUAGGUCUCGGAGAAAUCACAAUUGCCUGAUGCUAUAGAUUAUUUUCAUAAGAAUAUUACUAGUUGACUUACAAGCUUAUGUGCAAAUAAAAUCUUGAAUAAGUUUACCAAUGAAA